rnacentral:rRNA from 1 species
CGUAAGGCGACCGAAUGAGUCAUUAAAAAAUUAACAUCAUCCGAUCCCUAAUUGGCAUAGUUUAUGGUUAAGACUACGACGGUAUCUGAUCGUCUUCGAUCCCCCUAACUUUCGUUCUUGAUUAAUGAAAACAUCCUUGGCAAAUGCUUUCGCAGUAGUUAGUCUUCAAUAAAUCCAAGAAUUUCACCUCUGACAAUUGAAUACUAAUGCCCCCAACUAUCCCUAUUAAUCAUUACGGUGAUCCUAGAAACCAACAAAAUAGAACCAUGCCGUCCUAUUCUAUUAUUCCAUGCUAAUGUAUUCGAGC